GAUGAACGCUGACAGAAUGCUUAACACAUGCAAGUCAACUUGUGGAGGACUGGUGAGUACCGCGUAAAGAACUUGCCUAACUGAUAGGGACAACAUUUGGAAACGAAUGCUAAUACCUGAUACUGUGAGAGAGCUUUGCCUCCCAUUAGCUAGUUGGAGAGGGAACGGCACACCAAGGCGAUGAUGGGUAGCCAGCCUGAGAGGGUGGUCGGGCACAAGGGGACUGAGACACGGCCCUUAAUCCUACGGGAGGCAGCAGUGGGGAAUAUUGGACAAUUGACCAAAGUCUGUUCCAGCAAUUCUGUGUGCACGAUGAAGUUUUCGGAAUGUAAAGUGCUUUCAGUUGGGAAGCGGUACCAACAGAAGAAGUGACGGCUAAAUACGUGCCAGCCGCCGCGGGAAUAC
rnacentral:rRNA from 1 species